rnacentral:lncRNA from 1 species
UUUUUUUUUUUGGCAAUAGAAAUAUGUGAUACCUAAAGGAGAUAUAAAAUUCGCUAACAGGCAGAGACUCACAUUUCACAAGUGAUAUCUAAGACUAACCUUCACGUUGGCUGUAUCCUAUUUAGAGAUGAGGACUACAGCAAAUGGAACAAUGAUGUGAUAUUAUUUAACUAGUGUUGUGCUGUUUACAAUAUUAGGUUGUGUAAUCACAGAAGCCUUUAUCACAGGAGAGGACCUCUCUCUCCCUUAACUUGUGACUUCCAUUUAAACUGUGAGGAUUCCAACUGUGCAAAUAAAAGUGUUGUUUUGGUAACAGCUUGUUGAGAGAACUCCAUGUUGCCCCAGAAUGUACUUGAAGAAGAUUAAUGAGUCCUACAUAUAUGCCAAGUCAAUCUGUUCCUCCCUGUCAAUCACCAUCCCAAGAACAAGUUUUGCUAUCCCUGCCUAUAUGUUUUCAAAUUAAUGUAUGGCUUAAAUUUUAACUGAAUCAUGGAACAAAUGAUUACUAAAGACUUGGCCAAGGAGUUUUGCAGUAGUAUCCACUGAACAUUAUUGAGAAGACCUGUCCACUCCUGCAGUUCUCAACCAAGCAGUGACAGUAAGGGUUGAAAAGAUGUUGCCUGCCUGUCCUUUGAGGAAGUUGAAUAACUUUUACUGUACUAGUUAUUCAAAUGCUGAAGACUUAAAAUAUUGUGUUUCUCCUUCUUUCUUAGCCAUCUUCCUCUAGGGAUCUCUAAACACUCAGUCAACUCCCCACUAGCCUGCUUUCCUCAUAGAGCAAUGGGUACAUCUAUAGUCAUUAAUAUGACUGCAAUACCAUGAGAGGGAUUGGAACACCAUGCCAUGCUGGAGCCUCCUGAGAACACCAGCUAUUCCUGGCUGGCUAUAGGACCCAAGGGUGCUAACAAUCACCACAGUUGAUAGAACUCAUGUUCUUUCUACAAGAGUGAAUUUCCAGUUAAACAACAUCUAAGAGGAAACUUUCAGUCAAUAGGGACUUAAAUACUAGGCUUCUCCUGCAGAAUUCAUAGAUAAUCACAUCUCAGCCCUAAGUGAAGACUGUGCCACCUAGUACCUCAUGGGCUGGGGAGAGAGGGCUCAGCGCAAAAGAUUCGGCAGUGGCCAAUGUCCAAAUCCAGAACUGUCUAAAGAAGUACCAGAAAGAGUGAUUCAGAAGAGGAACUGAGGUCAGGAUCUGGGGCAUGUGGUCAGGUAUCAGAGGCUGGCAAACAGUAUUUUCCUUUUAUAGGACUAUUUGUGUUGGUUGUUUCAUCAUCAUAAAGACACUACAAGACUUUAGUCAAUUAUACUAUUUUGUUUUAGAAAAUGAUUCUUAAACAUGGUGUCCAUCAAAACCAUGUAGGAUACUAAAAUGCAGAUUCCUGGAGCCUAACCCAGUAGAUCAGAGCGAGGUCAAGGGAUCUGUAUCUUAAAAAGUGUCCCCAGUGGAUUGUGAUGUAUGUGCUCCUCACAUCCUACUUUGAGAUACCUUGAGAGACUGUGGCUUAAGGAAUACCAGUUUAGACUGAGGCACUGUGUGAUCAUAGGUGAAUGCCAAGUCAAAUGCAUUUCUAUUUUUUUAAAUAUUUAUUUAUUUUAGAGAGACAGUGUGUGUGCAUGUGCAGGGGGAGGGGCAGGAGGCAGAGGGGAGAGGAGACAGAGGGGAGGGGGAGGGACAAGCAGACUCUGCAUUGAGCUCAGAGCUCAACUCAGGAUUCAAUAUCAUGACAGAGCUCAAUUCAGGGCUUGAUCUCAGGACUCUGAGAUCACAACCUGAGCUAAAAUGAAGUCAGAUCCUUAACUGACUGCAUGACCCAGGUGCCACUGAAAUAUAUUCCUUUCUUUUUAAAAAGAUUUUGUUUAUUUAUUUGAGAGAGAGAGAGAGAGAGAGAGAGAGAGAGAGCAACAGAGAUAGCAAAAGAGAGCAUGAGUGAGGAGAACAGGGAGAAGCAGGCUCCCCACUAAGCAGGCUCCCCACUAAGGUGAUGCAGGGCUCCCCCCCAGGACUCCGCAAUCAUGACCUGAGCCGAAGGCAGACACUUAACUGACUGAGCCACCCAGGUGUCCCAAAUGCAUUUCUUUAGAAGAUGUGGCUAGCUUAUUUUUGAAAGAUCUGGUAUUGAAUUAACCAUUAGUUUCUAGCUUGCGAAUACUGUACAGGGUAAAAGCACAAAGAGACACAACCAUGAUUUUCUGUGCUAAUAUCAGCAGAAAACUACCACUUGACCAUCAUCUUAAUUAGCUAUUUUGUAUUAUAAAUACUCUGAGCAAUCAUCAGCUGCAGGUGUAGGUCCACCCUCUAGUUUACUCCUAUGUAAUUUGAAGAAACAGCAUUAAAGAGACAAUUCUAUUCUGUAUCUGGGAUAAAAGAACAGUACCAAUUCAACCCUGAAAGUAGUUUUUAAUAAGAAUUAGUGAAUAGAAUGCUGUAUUUAUUCACUGCUUCAGAAACCUCUCUUCAUUCAAUACACCCAGCCCAUCUCUGCACUCACUGUUUCCAAACAACUUUGUAGGUAACCAGGCAUCAAUAUAUGAUAGUCAUAUAGCAAGCGAGAGGAGUCUCCACCCUAUCUACCCUAACCAUCCCUACAUUAUCAACAUGAACGGCAGAGAGGGCUCCUAGACACCCCCUGUAUGUAAUUAUACGUGGGUGUUGGAGGAGGAUGGCACAUAGGAAAAAGAAUUAAACAUCCCUCUGAUUUCCCAUUAAGACAACAGAGCAGCUCUAGAAAUUGUUCAGCUCCUACAUAGCUUGGACAUUGUCUUGAGGAUAAAGAUAUAUGUUAAGUCAUAGCCUGGAAUACUAGUUAAAUAUUAGUUAAGUCACAGUUUGGAAAUGUUAGCACUGCCUUGAUCCCAUUCAGAGCUGAUGAGAAAGACCCUGGGACAGAGUGCCUUCGUUGUCCUUACAAGGGAUUCUUUGGUGUUCUGACUGAGGCAGGGGUAGAUUUCAUUUACUCUCGCUGUGCAACGAGGAACCAGAUAUGAAGGUGGCUGGAAGACACAUUCAUAAAUGCAAGUGGUCUCCAAAAUAUGGCUAACAAAUGCUUGACUAAUCUUUAAGACUACUGUGUAAAAAGAGCAGGACAGCUGUUUAACAUUUUAUGAACCAGGCUCUGAUGUGGAAGGCUUACAGACUCUCCACUCAUGAGAAAGAAUACACCCACCAUACUGCACAUGCCUCCUCUGAGUGUGACAGGGCAGAAAUAAAUGGCAUGUCUACUAAAUACCAUUCAGCAGCAGCAUUAGGCUCUGUCCAGGAGGGCGAAAUGGAUUGAAUUUGCUAUAAUGCUAAUUUACACUGCCUUUAAUGAACGUACGUACAUGUUUAACUCACAGAAGGAGAAGUGCUGUUGUACACCCAACUUCUUUCUACCCCACUCAGGCUGAUAAGACAUUCUCCAGACAAUUAUAAUUAUGGGCAAUUUGUAAUAAUAAUAAUAGUUGCUUUUUAUUAGAUGCAGUAAAAAUCGAUUCUACAUUCAAUUACCAUUCUUGGCAGUGCUAUGAUAGUCCAAAGUAAAUGCUAGUGUCAAAACAAAACUAACUAUAAUGACAAUAAUAAAGUUUUAAAGGACAAAAUCCUCCUUUUAAGAUCAAAAUGUACCCCCCUUUUUAAAGUCCCUCCCAUACCACUGAGUCAUGAAUGAAUUAUCUGCAUUCUUGUUUCACUUGUUUGACGAUAAAGAUCUUAAAUAUUGCCACAUGUAAUAGCACAGAUCUUUCCAAGAAUGUGACACCAUAGUAAUUAUCACCACUCAUUAAAUAACAGGACUGGAUAGUGAGUAUGGGCUGAACAUGAAUUCAGCAUUGACACAGGCCAACAUUGCAGACGGACUCCUCAUGGGGUUAUAUAGAUGGGAUUCCUUCUCCCAAAGUUGUUAAUUUAGAGAGAGUAGAGUAGCAUAUUCAUUUCUAAGGUUCAAGAGUCAGGUUUUUAAACUUGGGACUUUCCUCUUAUUAUAUAGAUAGUGUUCAUUUCAUAGGAAACCUCCCAUAUUAAUACUAAAUGCCAAUAUCAUCUAGCUGCCCACGUGAUAGUGAGGAAGGCCAAAGGUAUCUGCUGUCCCAGAAUCACCUUUCUAAUCCUUCAUACCUGCCUUCAUUUUGGCCACCAGGUAAUCUGUGCCUUUUGUUCUUUAUGUCUUCCAUCUUAGUGUUAUCUUCUCCCAGAGAGUUUGGUGAAUUCACUUACCCCUUCCUGGUGCCUUUGCUUUGUGACCACAAUACAACAAAACAAAACAAAACAAAACAAAACAAAACAAAACACAAGUAUAUUUCAAGUUGUGAAAAUUCAAGCACCUGUGGAUUGAAAUAAAAUGCAGUAAGGUGGUUUGGUUAGCAAUAUUUCAUGAUGAACUAGACCUGCAGAGGUUCUGGGCUCUAAUAUGAGACCCUCCACUAGCUAUGUGAUCUUGGGUAAGUCAUUUAACAUCCCGGGAGACUGAAUGAGACAAUGUAUGGGAAAGUCCUGGCAACACUGAAUGAAAUACCAUAUACAGGUCAUAGAGUCAAUUGGCUGGCUUUCCUGAAAUGAACUUUUCUUGAGUGAGGAUUAUGACAACCAGGUCAAAGAAGUAUGACUUCUUAGGACUCUUUACAGUGAUUCCUUCAUGAUAGUUUGUCCCUGUCCAUGCACUUACUCCUGGGGUCAUCAAAGCCCCAGAAAAGUGAUGUAAGCAACAGCACUCUUCUUCCUGUAAAGGAUUAUUGUCAGCCACUAGACAUAAUAAUUUGUUCUUCAAUUGCCGUUUGGGAUUUCCUUGGACAUUAGCCAGAAAUUCCUCCGGGGUCCCAGCCAUGUAAAAAGUUAAAGACUCAGAAAAGAAAUAUAAGCACCAUUUAGAAGACCUCAAGUAUUGGAGUCACCUCAGAAGAGUCAAAUGAAUUCCACGUACUCUAUGGCAUAUAUCAUCUUUAAAAGGAACAUUCAUGCAUUAAUACAUUAUUCUCUCUGUAGUUUAGCUAAUUAAGAAUAGGCCAUAUUCACAGCCUCACAGGUUUAUCACUGGAGUGUGACAUCACUGAGUACUGUAGUCCUGGGAGAUGGUUAGCCAAAUAUUAACUGACUUGGUCUCCUUUUAUGUAAAUGUGUGAGCAAAGAAACGCAUCUGGAUCUUUUUCUGCUUGUAAUGAAAUCAUAACAUUUUGCCUGAAUGGUUCAAAAUAAAGUGCUACAGAUGAUUUAUAAACUAUGGUACAAGUUCAAUAACAUAUCCUUGUCUGGUCCUUGUCUAGAAUAUGCUUCUUUGCUCAGAUGAUCAGACGUCCAGCUCCCCAGCGCUCCUCUAGCCUGUGAUUUCCAACCCUAUUUAUAAAGGAUUCAUCCAAUUUAAAAGGAAUCCAUCCAUCCACCUCAU